UAAAAUUUUCAAUGGCAGAUGAAAUUCUUA
rnacentral:piRNA from 1 species